rnacentral:rRNA from 1 species
CUAUACAUGCAAGUAGAACGCUGAAGAGAGGAGCUUGCUCUUCUUGGAUGAGUUGCGAACGGGUGAGUAACGCGUAGGUAACCUGCCUGGUAGCGGGGGAUAACUAUUGGAAACGAUAGCUAAUACCGCAUAAGAGUAGAUGUUGCAUGACAUUUGCUUAAAAGGUGCAAUUGCAUCACUACCAGAUGGACCUGCGUUGUAUUAGCUAGUUGGUGAGGUAACGGCUCACCAAGGCGACGAUACAUAGCCGACCUGAGAGGGUGAUCGGCCACACUGGGACUGAGACACGGCCCAGACUCCUACGGGAGGCAGCAGUAGGGAAUCUUCGGCAAUGGACGGAAGUCUGACCGAGCAACGCCGCGUGAGUGAAGAAGGUUUUCGGAUCGUAAAGCUCUGUUGUAAGAGAAGAACGAGUGUGAGAGUGGAAAGUUCACACUGUGACGGUAUCUUACCAGAAAGGGACGGCUAACUACGUGCCAGCAGCCGCGGUAAUACGUAGGUCCCGAGCGUUGUCCGGAUUUAUUGGGCGUAAAGCGAGCGCAGGCGGUUAGAUAAGUCUGAAGUUAAAGGCUGUGGCUUAACCAUAGUACGCUUUGGAAACUGUUUAACUUGAGUGCAAGAGGGGAGAGUGGAAUUCCAUGUGUAGCGGUGAAAUGCGUAGAUAUAUGGAGGAACACCGGUGGCGAAAGCGGCUCUCUGGCUUGUAACUGACGCUGAGGCUCGAAAGCGUGGGGAGCAAACAGGAUUAGAUACCCUGGUAGUCCACGCCGUAAACGAUGAGUGCUAGGUGUUAGACCCUUUCCGGGGUUUUAGUGCCGCAGCUAACGCAUUAAGCACUCCGCCUGGGGAGUACGACCGCAAGGUUGAAACUCAAAGGAAUUGACGGGGGCCCGCACAAGCGGUGGAGCAUGUGGUUUC